UUUUUUUUACUUUGAGAGUUGUUGGUCGAGUGUAUGGUGAACAAGAGCGGGUGUGGAGAUGGUAGCACCGUGGUCGAGUGUUGAAUGUGUAGAGGGAAACGCGGUCGAGUGGCGGUGGUUGAGCUUCACUCUUCUUCUCUUUGACAAUCGAGUGAGCUUUUAAAUGGCAAUGGUGGAGCGAGACGCACGGUGGUCGAGUAAGGGAGAUGAUGAAGAUGGUGAGGAGAGAUCGAGUGACUAUGAGUGGCAAGAGAGACGAGGUCGAGUUUGGUUGCUGAAUCGAGUGAACUGGUGAUGAGUGAGAGGUGAUGACAAGCUUUCGUGGGGGAUGAGAGCAGCGGUGUUGGAAACGAUGAAGAGAUGAGGAGCUUGAAGGUGAUAAGUGUUCAGCGGUCGAGUAUGUCAAGCUUUAAUGGAGGAGAAAACGAUUUGAUUGGUUGAUGGUGAAGGUGGUCGAGUGGUUAAGAGCUAGAAGUGGUGAAGCCGGCUUGGUGGUAGAGGUCGAGUGAGUGAAAUGGAGAGCUCGAGUUGUUUCCUUGGAGAGAGGGAGCAGGCGGUGACGAUGGAGAGGCGGUGAGAAGCGGCGAGCUCGAGUGAUAUCGCGAGGUCGAGUAUGUUGAGAGAUGGCGAUGAGAGCGAUGAAGCCGAGUAAGUGAGAGAGCGGGCGGUGGUCGAGUGAGAGUUGUGAGGGAAAGCGAUGGCGGCUUGUUGUGUCUUUUGGAUGCAAGAAUGAGAAGAAGAGGUCGAAUAUAUGAAGAGAGAAAGUGAUGGGGUCGAGUGGUGAUGGAUGGAUGAUGAUGGCGUUGAAGACAAGUGAUGGAGAGAAGAAGGGGAUAGAUUUCGUUAUCACCUUGUAGGGAGCGUGGGAGACAUGGCAGCAGCAGUGGGUCCCUCAUCUGUCUCUUUGUUUUGAAUCAUUACUCUAUCUUCACUAGGAAAAUCUCAGGAAAUCCUACAAUCAUCUCUAAACUUAAUGAACUCUCUGUAAGACUCUGUAGCUUCUGUUGGUCGAGUAAAAUGAUGAUUUAAAUUUUUUUGAGUUUUUAAACAUCACUCAUACUCGACCAAUGUACUCGAUCUCUAGGCCAUAAGUAGAGUAAAAGUUUUGAAUUUUUACUCUACCUUCACGUUAUUCUUUUUUUUUUUUCCUGAGAACCACAAACACAACUAAAACAAAUCAAAAAUAACAAGAAAGUAAAAAUUAUUUACAAGGAUAAUCAUGGGACUUCCUCCCAAGGGAGCUUGUUUAAAGUCUCUAGCUUGACUCCUCACACUUAUCAAGAAGAAAGUGAAUGAUAGAGAGGGUCUGCAUAAUCCUCUCUGAUAUCAUCAUCAUACUCAACGUCUUCCCUAGAGAGGUCUCCAGCAGAAUACUUAAUUCUCAUUUCUUCAAAAUAAGCUUCUUUCUCUUCUGGAGGGUAAUCUGUCUCUUCAGACCAUCUUGAAGUGAACUUUUUUCUCGGGAUAGUGUUAAUCCCGCCUUUAGGUUGAGUUUCCUUCUGCAUCUGAUUCAGCUUACUCCUAAGUUCCUCAACAGAGUGAGCUAGCCUCUCUAUAGUUUCUUUUUGCUUAUCAGACCUCUUUUUAAGCUUUUUUUAUUUUCUCAGUCUCAUACCCUUCUCCUGGGAUCACUCUAUAGUCUUUAGAGGUUUUUUCAUCUUCUGUUGACUCUUGUGGAAUUUUGUUGAUGUCAAACUGCAACUUGUUGUGCUUUCCAAGGUUGAGACUUAUUUUCCCUUCCCUGACAUCUACCACGUCUCCCACUGAAGCUAAGAAGGGUCUUCCCAGGAUUAAGGGAUCCUUAUGCUCAACUUCCAUAUCCAGCACCACGAAGUUUGUAGGGACUUCUACUCCAUUAAUCAUGACUGGUAGAUCUUUCAGCAUGCCGAAGGGUUUUCUGUAAGACCUAUCUGCAAGGAUCAAAGUCAGGUCACAAGGUUUAUACUGAAUAAACUCUAACCUUCUUGCAACAGAGAGUGGCAUUAAGCUGACAAAGGCUCCGAGAUCGCAAAGACAAUCGCUAAAAGCUAAUUCCCCAAUGGAACAUGGUAGAGUGAAAGAUCCAGGAUCUUCUAAGUUUUUUUGAACAAUCCUCUUAUCAGCAGCUCGAGAUGGAGUGGCAUCACUUUCAUCAUC
rnacentral:sRNA from 1 species